rnacentral:rRNA from 1 species
GAUGAACGCUGGCGGCGUGCCUAAUACAUGCAAGUCGAGCGAACAGACGAGGAGCUUGCUCCUCUGACGUUAGCGGCGGACGGGUGUGUAACACGUGGAUAACCUACCUAUAAGACUGGGAUAACUUCGGGAAACCGGAGCUAAUACCGGAUAAUAUAUUGAACCGCAUGGUUCAAUAGUGAAAGACGGUUUUGCUGUCACUUAUAGAUGGAUCCGCGCCGCAUUAGCUAGUUGGUAAGGUAACGGCUUACCAAGGCGACGAUGCGUAGCCGACCUGAGAGGGUGAUCGGCCACACUGGAACUGAGACACGGUCCGGACUCCUACGGGAGGCAGCAGUAGGGAAUCUUCCGCAAUGGGUGAAAGCCUGACGGAGCAACGCCGCGUGAGUGAUGAAGGUCUUCGGAUCGUAAAACUCUGUUAUUAGGGAAGAACAAAUGUGUAAGUAACUAUGCACGUCUUGACGGUACCUAAUCAGAAAGCCACGGCUAACUACGUG